rnacentral:rRNA from 1 species
ACGCUUCUUUUUCCACCGGAGCUUGCUCCACCGGAAAAAGAAGAGUGGCGAACGGGUGAGUAACACGUGGGUAACCUGCCCAUCAGAAGGGGAUAACACUUGGAAACAGGUGCUAAUACCGUAUAACAAUCGAAACCGCAUGGUUUUGAUUUGAAAGGCGCUUUCGGGUGUCGCUGAUGGAUGGACCCGCGGUGCAUUAGCUAGUUGGUGAGGUAACGGCUCACCAAGGCUACGAUGCAUAGCCGACCUGAGAGGGUGAUCGGCCACAUUGGGACUGAGACACGGCCCAAACUCCUACGGGAGGCAGCAGUAGGGAAUCUUCGGCAAUGGACGAAAGUCUGACCGAGCAACGCCGCGUGAGUGAAGAAGGUUUUCGGAUCGUAAAACUCUGUUGUUAGAGAAGAACAAGGAUGAGAGUAACUGUUCAUCCCUUGACGGUAUCUAACCAGAAAGCCACGGCUAACUACGUGCCAGCAGCCGCGGUAAUACGUAGGUGGCAAGCGUUGUCCGGAUUUAUUGGGCGUAAAGCGAGCGCAGGCGGUUUCUUAAGUCUGAUGUGAAAGCCCCCGGCUCAACCGGGGAGGGUCAUUGGAAACUGGGAGACUUGAGUGCAGAAGAGGAGAGUGGAAUUCCAUGUGUAGCGGUGAAAUGCGUAGAUAUAUGGAGGAACACCAGUGGCGAAGGCGGCUCUCUGGUCUGUAACUGACGCUGAGGCUCGAAAGCGUGGGGAGCAAACAGGAUUAGAUACCCUGGUAGUCCACGCCGUAAACGAUGAGUGCUAAGUGUUGGAGGGUUUCCGCCCUUCAGUGCUGCAGCUAACGCAUUAAGCACUCCGCCUGGGGAGUACGACCGCAAGGUUGAACUCAAAGGAAUUGACGGGGGCCCGCACAAGCGGUGGAGCAUGUGGUUUAAUUCGAAGCAACGCGA